AGAGUUUGAUCCUGGCUCAGGAUAAACGCUGGCGGCGUGCUUUAAGCAUGCAAGUCGCACGGAUACUCGCAAGAGUGUGAGUGGCAGACGGCUGAGGAAGACGGAAGGAACCUGCCCGACAGAGGGGGAUAACUCCGCGAAAGCGGGGCUAAGACCGCGUACGCUCGUGCUGGGGAGAACGGCAUGAGGAAAGCCGCAAGGCGCUGACGGAGGGGCUUCCGGCCCAUCAGGUAGUUGGUGAGGUAAAGGCCCACCAAGCCGAUGACGGGUCGCUGGUCUAAGAGGAUGAUCAGCCAGACUGGGACUGAGACACGGCCCAGACUCCUACGGGAGGCAGCAGCUAGGAAUCUUGCGCAAUGGGCGAAAGCCUGACGCAGCGACGCCGCGUGGGGGACGACGGUCUUCGGAUUGUAAACCCCUUUUGGGUGGGAAGAGAGUGGACGGUACCACCCGAAGAAGCCCCGGCUAACUACGUGCCAGCAGCCGCGGUAAUACGUAGGGGGCGAGCGUUGUCCGGAUUUACUGGGCGUAAAGAGCGCGUAGACGGUUGGGUAGGUUGGUUGUGAAAGGUGCGGGCUUAACCCGCAUAGGUCAACCAAAACCGUCCGACUCGGAGGACAGUAGAGGAAGGUGGAAUUCCGGGUGUAGUGGUGAAAUGCGUAGAGAUCCGGAGGAACACCGGCGGCGAAGGCGGCCUUCUGGGCUGGCCCUGACGCUGAGGCGCGAAAGCGUGGGGAGCGAACUGAAUUAGAUACUCAGGUAGUCCACGCCCUCAUCAUGGACACUAGGUGUGG
rnacentral:rRNA from 1 species